rnacentral:lncRNA from 1 species
GUGUACGAAUACAUUGUGUGUGAAUACAAAGAAAAGUAAAAACCAUUUGCUUCAGGGUUAAGAAAAAAUUAGUUAUUUCAGAAAUAGUAUUAAGUUUAGGGUUAAGGUGGGAUUAAAGUAUUUUUGUGUUUGGUUGGAGGUUAGAAUUAAGUCAGGAUAGUAAAAAAUAAUGUUUGGUUGGAAUAGGUGGGAUAAGAAGGAUAGUGGAUUGUUAUGAAUAGAAAAGAGUAUUUGGUUAGGGUUUGGUGGGGUUAGGUGGGGUUAGCUAACCCGGGAUAACCCAUUUGAGGUGGGGUUAGCUGGGGUUAGCUAACCCCACCCAUUUUUAGAAGUAUUUGGGAUUAAAAUAGGGGUUAAGGGGUUAUUCCACCCCUUAACCCCCAA